UGACAAUUCAUACUUUGCUCCAGAUUGUUUUCACUUCAGCCAAAAGUCUCAUUCACAGGCUGCACGUGGUCUGUGGAACAACAUGGUGGAACCUGUAGGGAAGAAGACAGAUGACCAACAAAUGGAAAAUGAAAUUGUCCUCAAAUGUCCAAGUGAGGCUGAGCCAUUCCUGAAGACAUACAAAAACAGUAAUUACACGUACCCUAACCAAACUCCAAAUUACGGAAGUCAGCUGCUAUGUGAGGACAGGUCUCCAUCCUCCCCUUCUCCAGCAUCAG